rnacentral:rRNA from 1 species
UGAACGCUGGCGGCGUGCCUAAUACAUGCAAGUCGAGCGAACAGACGAGGAGCUUGCUCCUCUGACGUUAGCGGCGGACGGGUGAGUAACACGUGGAUAACCUACCUAUAAGACUGGGAUAACUUCGGGAAACCGGAGCUAAUACCGGAUAAUAUAUUGAACCGCAUGGUUCAAUAGUGAAAGACGGUUUUGCUGUCACUUAUAGAUGGAUCCGCGCCGCAUUAGCUAGUUGGUAAGGUAACGGCUUACCAAGGCAACGAUGCGUAGCCGACCUGAGAGGGUGAUCGGCCACACUGGAACUGAGACACGGUCCAGACUCCUACGGGAGGCAGCAGUAGGGAAUCUUCCGCAAUGGGCGAAAGCUUGACGGAGCAACGCCGCGUGAGUGAUGAAGGUCUUCGGAUCGUAAAACUCUGUUAUUAGGGAAGAACAAAUGUGUAAGUAACGAUGCACGUCUUGACGGUACCUAAUCAGAAAGCCACGGCUAACUACGU